UAUAAGUUACAUAGUAUAUAUAAAGAAAGUUGGAAUGAAAACUUGAUAUCACAAAUAUUACAAUUUACAACAGAAAACAUGAAAAAUGAAGCCAUACCACAUUAUUACCACCCACUUUCUUUUAUACAACUAGCAACCCUUUCUCUGUUUCUUGCUAUAUUUGCAAUGCGAUAUCUUAUACUAGCUAAUGCUAGUGCUGAUGCUGUUGGUAACGAAACCGAUUAUACGGGAUUGUCGGCCAUCAAGAGCAAACUUAUCGAUCGUAGUCCUGAUGGUGCUUUAAGCUCAUGGAAUCACACUUCUCACCAUUGUUUUUGGGAGGGUGUCAUUUGUGGGCACAAACAUAACAGGGUCACUGAGCUAGACCUCAAGGCGAGGGGUAUAUCAGGUACAAUAUCUCCCUUCAUUGGAAACCUCAGCUUCCUGAGAAAGAUUUCUCUUAACAACAAUGCCAGGUUAGGCGGCCUAAUCCCUCCUGAGAUCGGGCGUUUGUUCAGACUUCAGAUACUAAACCUCUACAACAACAGCCUGAUUGGGGAAAUCCCGGGUAGCAUAGCGAGUUGCAGUAACCUGCAAGUUCUUUUUGUAGGCUACAACAAGUUACAAGGGAGACUUCCAAUGGGAUUAAAAGCAUUGUCUCACCUCAAAAAACUUUCUGUCCAUUAUAACAAUUUUAGUGGACCGAUAUUCGAGAUCAUAGACAGCUUGUUGUCCUUAGAAAUUUUGUCUGGAACCUCCAAUUCUUUUACAGGAACUAUUCCUGAGAAAGUUUAUAGGAUGACAAAUCUGUCUUACCUGAAUUUGUCAUUAAAUAAACUAUCAGGUGUGAUUCCCCAAUCCAUUGCUAACCUCUCAUCAUCCCUAACACAGUUAGAUUUGUCUAGUAAUCAACUACAAGGUAAGCUUCCGAAGGAAUUAGGAUGGAUAAGUAGUCUACAAAAGCUCGAUGUUGGGUCCAACGAUUUCAAUGGUAUGAUUCCUACUUCAAUCUUCAACCUCUCUUCCCUUAUAUACUUGGACUUAUCUUGCAACCGUUUACAAGGAAGUAUUCCAUCAGAUAUCGCCUUCACACUUCCUCGUUUACAAUCUCUAAACCUUUAUCAUAAUAAUUUGACAAGGUUAAUACCAAACUCUUUACCAAAUCUCACAUAUAAUCUUCUUGACAUUCAGUUAGAUGAUAACAACUUCACAGGAAACAUGCCACUUCAUUUAGGGCGCCUUUCUAACCUUAGAACCUUAAACAUUGGCAAUAAUAAUUUUGUAGGAGACAUCAACUUUAUUAGUACCCUAGUUAAUUGUACCAAACUAAAUAUCCUAGACAUACAAAUAAAUAGCUUCACAGGAACAAUACCGAAAGCUGUAGCCAAUCUUUCAAACAAUUUGAUUGUUCUUGGGCUUGGAACAAACCCUAUAACCGGAGAAAUUCCAAUAGGUAUUGGUAACCUCGUCAACCUUUGGUACAUUGUGAUGCCAUCGAGCAACCUCAAAGGCUCCAUCCCUCACGAUUUUGGUAACCUUCAAAAGCUAGAGAGUCUAAACUUACACUCCAACAAACUAACAGGUGAAAUUCCCAAUUCCUUUGGAAAUUCAUCACAUUUAACCAAACUUUCUUUAUAUGAAAACAACUUGCAAGGAAAAAUACCUCCCACACUUGGUAAUUGCUCAUACUUGUUAUAUUUGGAUUUAUCCUCUAAUAAAUUGUCCAAAGAGCUCUUUACAAACACUAAUUUUAUCAUGUUAUGGUUGAGUCAAAAUCGCUUGGAAGGGUCUUUACCUAUAGAGAUUAGCAACCAAAAAAAUUUGGAAGUUCUCGGUGUGAACAAUAAUUGUUUUUCUGCUGAAAUUCCAAAUUUCUUUAACAGCUUACCCAAUCUUCAACAAGUGUAUAUGGAUCAUAAUUUCUUCCAAGGUUUGAUUCCUCCAUCAUUUUCCUAUUUGAAAGGUCUUUUGAAUGUUGAUCUUUCCCAUAACAACCUUUCAGGCCCUAUUCCAGAAUAUCUCUCUUCAUUUCCCAUGAUAUACAGCCUAAACUUAUCUUAUAAUAAUUUUAAGGGAAGCGUUCCAACUAAAGGAGUUUUUUCGAAUGCAAGUGCAAUCUCUCGUUGGAAACAGUGGACUUUGUGGAGGAAUUCAUGAGCUUCAUCUACCAAGAUGUGAGAAGAAAGAUAAGAAGAAAAGAAGAAUGUCUCGUGUUCUCACGUCGACAAUAAUUCCAACAGGUUGUGCACUUGUUGGGGUGAUAGCCAUGGCAACAUGCAUCUGGUUAUACAUGAUAAGUCAUAACAGAAAAAGAAAAUCAAAUUCAGCAAAUGCUUUAGAGAAGGAAUCAUUCUUGAAAGUAUCUUAUGACAAGCUACUCAAAGCAACUGACGGAUUUUCUCCGGGAAGUCUGAUUGGUUCCGGUACUUUUGGGUCUGUGUUUAAGGGAAUCCUCGAUGGAAAGACGGUUGCUGUAAAAGUACUCAAUUUGCAACAACGAGGUGGUUCAAAGAGUUUCAUGGCAGAGUGUGAAGCAUUACGGAAUAUUCGACAUCGUAAUUUGGUGAGAAUAAUGACUGCUUGCUCAAGUACAGACUUCAAGAGAAAUGAUUUCAAAGCUCUUGUCUAUGAAUUCAUGCCCAAUGGAAGUCUUGAUAGAUGGUUACAUGAAGAUGGAAACAUGAGCCUUCUCCAAAGGGUAAAUAUAGCAAUUGAUGUGGCUCAUGCACUGAACUAUCUCCACCAUGAAUGUGGAAACUCAAUCGUACAUUGCGACCUUAAACCAAGCAAUAUAUUACUUGAUCAUGAUAUGGUCGCACAUGUAUCUGAUUUUGGGUUAGCGAAGAUUGUUGCUCAACCCUUACAUCCAAAUCAAAGCAGUUCGAUUGGAGUUAGAGGAACUGUUAGGUAUGCUGCUCCAGAGUAUGGCUUGGGAGGUGAAGUAUCCGCUGAAGCUGAUAUCUACAGUUACGGAAUCUUGUUGCUUGAGCUUAUAACAAGAAAGAGACCCACAGACGAUAUGUUCAAGGAAGAAUUCAACCUCCAUACGUUUGCAAAGGCAGCAUUGGCUGACCAAGUGUUGCAGAUUGUUGACACGGCCAUUACAGAGUGCGGAAUAGAAGAAGUCGAUAGUAGUAGAGGAUUAAGAACCCAAGAAAUGCUUAAAAAACAACAGGAAUGCAUAAUGGUUAUUGUAAAGAUUGGAGUGGCAUGCUCAAAUCAAUUGCCAAGGGAUCGAAUGACAAUAAGUGCAGUCAUACGCGAGCUACAACAAGCAAGAAAGACCCUUCUCAAUCCAAGGCACAGGCAUAAUAUUCCAAGAGGUACAAUUGAGCACGAUUUGCAGUAACAUGAAAUUGAACAAGAACUUCCCAUUCUUACAGAUUGUGUUAUAUUGGAUCCAGAAGUUCUAGAAAGUGGAGCAUCAGACAACACAAUAUAUUUUUUCUAUUUUUUGUUUCAGCUUCCUUUGUAUUGAUUGUGUGAGCAUUCUUCAAGUAAAGAAGAUAAAUUUGCCAGUAUUUUGGGGGGUUUGUAUUGAAUGAUAAAUACUGAUGAUCUUAAUAAAC